rnacentral:rRNA from 1 species
GACGAACGCUGGCGGCAUGCCUAACACAUGCAAGUCGAACGGAGAAUUCCUUCGGGGAUUCUUAGUGGCGAACGGGUGAGUAACGCGUAGGCAACCUGCCCUUUGGAUGGGGGACAACAUUCCGAAAGGAGUGCUAAUACCGAAUGUGACGAUUUUACCGUCAUGGUUUAAUCGUGAAAGAUGGCCUCUACAUGUAAGCUAUCGCCAAAGGAUGGGCCUGCGUCUGAUUAGCUAGUUGGUGGGGUAACGGGCUCACCAACGGCGACGAUCAGUAGCCGGUCUGAGAGGAUGAACGGCCACAUUGGGACUGAGAUACGGCCCAGACUCCUACGGGAGGCAGCAGUGGGGAAUAUUGGGCAAUGGGGGAAACCC